GCUGCAGACCAGGCUAUCGAUCCAGCGCUUCCAGUUGGGUAGGAAAGUCCGGACAGCACAGAGCAAUGCACCGGUGAAUAGCCGGCUUCCCGAUGAAAAUCGGGAAAGAGAAAGUGCCACAGAAAAUAACUACUCCGCAAGGAGGGAAAAGGUGAAAAUGUGAGGUAAGAGCUCACAGUUAGCCGGAGUGAUCCGGUUUCCGGGUAAACCUUGCAUGCUGAAAUGCCACGUAUAGUACCGCAGAGGGCUGCUCGCCCGAAACAGCCGCAAGGCCGUUGGGGUACAGGGUAGGCAGAUUGAGUCCGGCAGGUAACUGCCGGAACAGAUAAAUGAUGGCCUGGUUUAUAAGGGUGCAAACUUUUAUGGACGACACAGAAUCCGGCUUACAGGUCUGCAGCUUUU
rnacentral:RNase_P_RNA from 1 species